rnacentral:rRNA from 1 species
UUUAUGGAGAGUUUGAUCCUGGCUCAGGAUGAACGCUGGCGGCGUGCCUAAUACAUGCAAGUCGAGCGAACGGACGAGGAGCUUGCUUCUCUGAUGUUAGCGGCGGACGGGUGAGUAACACGUGGAUAACCUACCUAUAAGACUGGGAUAACUUCGGGAAACCGGAGCUAAUACCGGAUAAUAUUUUGAACCGCAUGGUUCAAAAGUGAAAGACGGUCUUGCUGUC